UUUAGCUACUUACAUUGGGAUCAGCGUAAUUUUGCAAGAAUGCUACAUUUUAAGGUGAUUCUCUAGUUAGUAUGCACCCUAAAGGAACACGCGACAAGCCUCUCUCGUCCACGUGCUACGUCAUUAGUACUAAGAGCGCAUGAAUAUGAACCGAGAUGGGCUUUAGAAAUCUAUUUUGAAAGAUGCUGUAUGACAGACGUUUGAAACAAAUAUUUUGUUGAAAGGUGUCUCUUCAAAAAUAUUACGUGAUGUUUGGAUUUUGUCACGCUAACUUUUAAUAAUAAUGAUAAAAUAAAUUUUAUUUUAGA